UUACUCCAUGGCACGCUUGUGCAGAUGAAGCAUCGACUCAAAGGCGCUGAGGGAGCGGCUAAACACUUGCACAAGACAUUGAGAAACUCAAGUUGUUUCAUAACGAACAUGGUUUGACCGUUGGAUCAGUUGGCUGUGGCUAAUUAUCCAAUAAAAGACUUUUACUUUACUGGGUCUGGCAUGCCUCAGAGUCUGUUUAUUACCAUAAUAAGCUACAUGGGAACGUUAAGAGUGACAGGUAGAGUGGAAGAAGGAUUCAUAGAUGUGAAGAAAUUGGAGUCGUA